UACGAAGGGGGGCUAGCGUUGCUCGGAAUCACUGGGCGUAAAGCGCACGUAGGCGGAUUGCUAAGUCAGGGGUGAAAUCCUGGAGCUCAACUCCAGAACUGCCUUUGAUACUGGCGACCUUGAGUCCGGGAGAGGUGAGUGGAACUCCGAGUGUAGAGGUGAAAUUCGUAGAUAUUCGGAAGAACACCAGUGGCGAAGGCGGCUCACUGGCCCGGUACUGACGCUGAUAUACGAAAGCGUGGGGAGCAAACAGG
rnacentral:rRNA from 1 species